CCUCCCCCUCGUUUCCCUCGCGCCGCCACCCGCACAAGAGACGCUGCGUGCUCCAGCCUCAUCGCUGCUGCCCCGCGGUCGCCUUGGUGUCGUUGUUCGUCGCCAUGCUAGUAGGACCGGGCGUCCAUGCCUCUCACCCCUCCCUCCUGCACCUCACCGUUGGUGUUCCCUAAUCUCCGUGCCAUGGCCAUAGCCAUCUCCCGCCUAGCCACACCUUGCUUUGCCGUUGUAGACCAUGGCCAGCCGCCGGAGAGCAAGUUGUCGCCCGCGUUUGCUUCCCUCGUGCAGCCUUGCACCCCGCAGCACCCAUGCAUCCGAACUUUUCUCGAGCCGCGACGUUGGAGCCACAGCCUCCGCCCACCUCUGACGAGCGCUAUCGGAGCACCGCCGGCUACCUUCGUCCGUCUCGCGGCCGGAUCCCAUCGACGCCGCCUUGGCUCCCCCGUGCAUCCCCAUCGUCCGGUCGCUGGACGCCCACGCCCCGCCUCGGCUCCUUCGAGCUUCCCCAUCGUUGCCUUUGUCCAGGUCGUCUUGUGUUGGAUCCAUUCCCAAGCACCACCUUCGCCUGGAUCCCCUUUGCUCUGCCGCUCAGCCACCGGAUGCACCCUGUCCGUGCCGCUGCUCGAGCGCCAUGGAUGUCUCCUUUGUCGUCGCCUGGACGUGCGGUUGCUCGUGCAUUGACCGCACACACCUGGCCUCUGCACCUUGGGCCGCCUCUGCUGCACCACUUCACAGCCAGCGCGCCUCCAGGCCCACUCUAGCACUUCGGUGGCCCCUUUUCAAGCCAGCCGAGUUGCCAAGACCACAAAGCCCAUUGACCACCCCGUGGGAUUUUCGCCAAGUUCCUCGCCCAUGUCUACAGAACGAGUACAACGACCAUCGCUAGAAUCUCUACUUCAUCUACACCUCAUCAGAACCGAUCUGCUCCAAGAGGCACGCUUCCAAGAUUUCCGAACUGAAUUGAAAUGUGAGGAUUCUUUCGUCUAUGUUGGUUCGUCUGCUUCAUGGAUUCGUCUUCUUCCAAGCGAGGUCACAAGCAAGAUGAUAAUUUCCCUAGAUAACAUUACUAUCAUUGCCAUGCUACUUAUAUCAUUUAUUUCGCCAUGUCUCACUGCAUACCACUUAAAUGUCAGCCUCUCAACAUUGCCAUGAAAACCUCUAACCCCUCGACAACUCAGCAAAACCUUGUUUUCCUAUGUUACCGCUUGCUCAGCCUUCUUAUAGUGUCGCUAGUUGCAGAUGCACUUGCUUUCACGUGCCAACAUCCAUUCCUUGUAAUACACCAUAUCAUUGCUAAUUAAUUAAUAUACUUAUAUACUUGGCAAAAGGUGGAAGGCUUGGCCUUUUAGCCUAGUGUUUUGUUC